rnacentral:lncRNA from 1 species
UUUGAACCUAUUACAUUGCAUUAAAGGAUCAAUGAAUGAAUAUGAUUUUGGAAUGGCUUUGGUGGCCAUGGAUUGGAUUUUAAAUGAAACUUGGGAGUCAAUUUUGUUAUAUGGAUUGGUUUGGCAUGAUUAUAUAAGCUUGCAAGCAUAUUGGUAUGAAGAUGCCAUAUUGGAAAUGCCUUAAUGAAUGACACUUGGGUUAAUAGUUGAUUAGUACAAUUAUUAUUUUAAUUUGGGCUUAAAGGGAAUUGAGUAGCUCAGCGUGAAGGUGAAGGUCUCCGGGGGGUCAACACUGAAAAUCAUGUUUGCUGGCAUUGGGGUUCCAUGUGAUUGUGUGCUUGGUGCACAUAUUAUGUGUGUGUGUGUGUGUAUAGAUAUGUGUGUGUGUAUUGAGAGGUGUAUGACCUUUGUGUCUUUAGUAUUUCCUCGAUUUUUCCUUGAUUCAUACGGCUAACACGUGUUAGGGGCCUUUCGGUAAGGGGGCUGGACCCAUAUAGCCCAUGGGUGACUUUAGGACAGAGCGAGUUACACAUUUCAGGUUAAUGGUUUAAGCUCUCAUGUUCAUGACCCUUGUUCUUAUCCCGGAAUCCUAUAUAUAUGUAUGGUGCAUGUCGUACCCCAUUUUAACACAGGUCAAACCGAGGUAUAACAUAUUGGAAACCUCUUAAUUAUAUUUUAGGAAGUCGCCACCUGAUUAGUUCUACGGUAAAUUAGGACACCUAUUAUAAACCAUGUGAUUAAAAGAAAAUAAAGACUUCAUUUUAAGGUCUACUUAUCCUACGUGAUUCUAGGUAAGAAUUCUAAUUAUCCUAAAGGGAAGGGACUAGGCACCCUAAAGGAUCCGUUAAAUUACGGUUAUCCGAUCAAACUUAGGUUAGAUAAAGCAAUCGAUAUUAAAAUAAGGAAGAUAUAAGUGAGGUAUUAUAUAUCCUUUAAAAAGGAUCUAUGUUAAUCAUUUGUAUGACAGAUUUAAAAUACUAGAAAUUCACUCGCUUGCAAAAUAAAGAUGGCCUUUAUAGUCCUUAAAAAUGACGCAAAACUUUAUUGUUAUUAAAAGGAAGUAAUUUUAAAUCAUUUUGUAGAAAAGAUUUACAAAGGUUCCUAACUAAUAGUUUAAACAAAAGGUUAGUCAUGUUAUAAAAGUCGCACAUUUUAAUUCUAAAAAAAAUCUUUUACCUUCCUUUAUUAAUUUUUAUAAAAUAAAUGUAAGCACAAAAUUAGCCACACCAUACAAAAUAGAUUAUUGAAAGAUAGCAUUGAAGAUAUACAAUUACUUAAAUCUACUAGUGACUUGGGAUUUUAUUCUUUUAUCAAGAAAAGACAUAUUUUCCAAAAAAGAAGUUUAUGCCAUUAGAAAAACCUAAGAAUGCCUCGUGAAUUCAAAUUGACAUAGUUGCCAUCUUUUAUGUGAAACAAAGUUAAUUGCUAUAUCCAAAAUAAGGAAAGCCGGAUAUCAAGUUUAACGGUAAUAAAUGUUCCUACCACCAAAACCUAUAUUUGAUUAAAUCAAAAUUACUAAUUAAUUAAGACUAACUUUGAUUCUAAAGAUAAAGUUGUUACUCUAUAUUAAGCCGUUAAAGGGUUCUAAAAACUCGACCAAUAAUUCAAAAGGGCACAUCUUUUGCCUAUCAAAUUUUAAUCUUUAACUAUAUUAAUCAUACACCUAAGCUAAGCAACAAGUUUAAGAUUACUAUCUAAUCAAAGGGUGGGGAAGAUACUACAUAAAUUUAUCAUCCAUCUCUAUAAGCUUAGACUAAUUCAAACAUAAGCAAUCAGAACAUCAAUUCUAAACGACAAUGUGCGGAAAAGCAAAGUAAUGAAAGAUAAUAUGACAUGUGCAUACAAAAAGAAACAAAGCUUGAAGGAAAGGAGGAGGCUUUUGUUAGCAGAUUUGGCUUGAGAGUAUAGAACGUGACUCCUUGUUCGGAUGAGGGGUAGCGUCGUCUCAUUUGAAACUUCAUUUAACUAGAGUCUUGAAUUAAGACUCCAUUUGCUCCGAGUGUACAUGUAAAGAAACAGAAAACAAAGAAUAAGUAAUACAGGUAGUUAUAUAUUGCAGGCAUACAAGAAAGAACAUAUUGGAACUUCAAAAUGCACAUAUAAAGGGAAAAGGAAAAAAAAUACGCGAACUUAUACAAGAAACCAAGAGGUACUUAGAUUAUUUCCUACUUUAUAAUAAUGAACAAAGAACACAAGACUUGACAAGUAUCUUUACCAAAUGACAUAUUUAAAGCUAGUCCCAAACAGGUAGAUAACAAGCAAAAUCAAAAUGUAUACAACUCGUAUGUUAAGGCUUGCGAUUAAUAUUUAAGCAUCUGCGAGUUGGUAAGGAAUUGCCCGGAAUCAAGUAUUCACGAUGGCGAAAUAGUUUAACAAAUGGGUGACCUAUGUUAUGAUUUGUUUUGCACGCCCAACAAAUGUUUCACGCCAUUUUUAGAAUGCCUAACUAUGGAUUCUAUAGCAAGCCGACUAUUCUUUGCGAAAAGAAAACGACAACACCUGACCGGAGAGCAUUUUAUCACAUUCAAAACAUUGGUACUUCCUAGCAGUUGCGCAUUACGACUAAAAAAACAUAAUGGCUUAGUUCAUUAUCACUACUACUGAUCCAAACGUGAAACAGAACAUUGAUCACGAGACAAGUAAAGACCUCCAUGUCCAAAUGCACUCUCUAACACGGGACGAAAGAUGUUAAAAUAUAUAGAAUGGGGGGCUUCUUUCUUGAUAAAUAUUACAAUACAUGACUGAAGGAUAACAUUUCAAACUUGUUUUAUCAAUAACUGAACAGAAACUAGGCAAGCAGUUAUUUCUUAUGUAUCUAGGAUCCAAGUGGUAAUUGCUACAGGCACAUGAUGCAAAAGGGGUGAUAGCUCAUGGUUUCUAAUAGAAAUAGAGAGUAAGAUGAUAACUUGAAAUUUUUUUUAAAGCAUUAAGAUUCGACAAUAUUGAGCCUAGUGACGUGGCAGUUGGUUAGGAGGUUACAACUAACUUAAUGUAUGAUUAGAGGCAGCUUAAUCACUAGUUAGUUAGUAGAAUAGGCAGCUAGGAUAUUUUCACUAUAUAUAUUCAGCAUUUCUGUAUGUGUAGUGGUUCAGUUUUUCCUUUUGAUGUAUUCAACCAUAUUUUCUUCAAUAAGAGUGGAAUAGUUUCUCUUCCUUCCUUGAUUGAAAUCCAAGCUUAUUCAGCUCUAAAUCCAUGGCUUCUCUCAUGGUUGCUGAACUUUACAUACAAUAGCUAUUGUGGCUACCAUAGUGUCUUUAGAAUAUUAAAGGAAAAAGGUGUGAUUAACGAGAUUUGCAAUUGACCUAGCAGCAAAAUACUCAUGAAAUCGAAACAAAUUAAUAGUAAGGUUACUGACCUAGCGUGGAUCAGGGAACUAGGUAUUUCGAUUUCAAAUCUACACUCGAACUUACUUGAAUCACACCGGAAAGAAAACUGGAACCAAGAGAUAUAUAAAAAGAGGCAAAAAGGGAUCUUUGUGAGAGAGAAUUUUACUCUGUAUAUAACUUCCAACUUUGAUGGCUAAGCAAAACAAAAUUUUUGAGAGAUGUGGCCGCUCUACCCCAAAAAAAACCUGCUCCAAAUGGAUAAAAAUGUGAAUAUUUAUAGAGAGAAAAUUAGGGCUUCAAGUUUGGGCGGGAUCUUGAGCUUUUGAUUUCGAAUUCUAAUCAAACAUAACCGUUUGGAGUUGGAAGUUAUCCGCUUGGACGGAUUUGGUCCUUCACGUGAUUGAUAUGGUCAUAACACGAAAAUGGAGUAACAUUUUCUUCCAUGGUUGAUGAAGCAUUGUUGCUUUACCGAAGUUGGGAGAGUGAGAAGUGGAAAAGCAAAAAGGAGCGGCGCUUUUGGGAGGGGAAAAAUUUUCUCUUUUUCUUUUACUUUUUGGGCGAUUUUUCAGGGUUCUAAGGAUAUUUUAGGUAUUAUGGGUAGAUUAAGUGAGGGUAAAGUGGGCAUUUCAUGGUAAAAGAGAUCUAGGGUUUUAAAU